CCUACGGGAGGCAGCAGUGAGGAAUAUUGGUCAAUGGGCGCUAGCCUGAACCAGCCAAGUAGCGUGAAGGAUGACUGCCCUAUGGGUUGUAAACUUCUUUUAUAUGGGAAUAAAGUGCAGCAUGUAUACUGCUUUGCAUGUACCUUAUGAAUAAGGAUCGGCUAACUCCGUGCCAGCAGCCGCGGUAAUACGGAGGAUCCGAGCGUUAUCCGGAUUUAUUGGGUUUAAAGGGAGCGUAGGCGGGUUGUUAAGUCAGUUGUGAAAGUUUGCGGCUCAACCGUAAAAUUGCAGUUGAUACUGGCAGCCUUGAGUACAGUAGAGGUAGGCGGAAUUCGUGGUGUAGCGGUGAAAUGCUUAGAUAUCACGAAGAACUCCGAUUGCGAAGGCAGCCUGCUGAACUGUCACUGACGCUGAUGCUCGAAAGUGUGGGUAUCAAACAGGAUUAGAUACCCGGGUAGUC
rnacentral:rRNA from 1 species